GGGGGGAUUUAGGGCAGGUAAUGAGCAUUACUCACUCACUUACUAUCUUAACCGCUUAUCCAAUUAGGGUCACAGAGGGGUGCUGGAGCCUAUCCCAGCUCUUCAAUGGGAACACCCUGGACGGGGUGCCAGUUCAUCGCAGGGCAGACACACACACACACACACAUUCACCUAUAGGGCAAUUCAGUGUCUCCAAUUAACCUGACUGCAUGUUUUAUGUUUUUGGACUGUGGGAGGAAACUCACACAGACACGGGGAGAACAUGCAAACUCUGCACAGAAAGGACCCGGACCGCCCCGUCUUCCUGUGAGACAGUGCUACCCACCGAGCCACCGCGACGCCCGGUAAUGCACAUUACAAAGUGGUGAGCAGACUGAGCACGGCCCCCCUCAGAGGCGGCCGCAUCUGAAUGACGAACUGGACGUCGGAGUCGAUGGGGUAGCUGGGCGUGAUGAAGGAGGUGUGGAGGGCGCCGCAGAAGGAGGUCAGGGUGUUCAUGGACUUCUUGUCGUAGAAGCCGAAAAUGGCGUAGACGCCCCUGGAGAACUGCGAGCAAACUGCAUGGGGACAGAGACGGAGACACAGAGAGGGUCAGCAAGUCCAGCAAGUUCCAUCCAAACUCCUCCACACACCCAGUGUCCAGAUCCCGGUCUCCUCCGUGUACCUUCGCUCUAACCCUGCUCAGAAAGACCCGCUACCUCCAUGACAGCAGCACUCACAGCGGCUCAGAAACCAGCGAGAAAGCUGUCAGACUCCACACUGCGACCCACUCAAUCUUCUCAGAGAGCCGAGACACGCUGUACCCAUCAGCCUCGCCGACAAACCCACUCAAUCUACAGAGCGCGUGUGGAUUCUGAGAGGCUCUUAAAUAAGGACACGGCGUUCGCCCGAUCGUGUGGGAGCUGAGAUGUUAAACUGUGAAAACGCAGCAACAAUGAGGACAGAAGAUCUCAAACAGACAUUUUAAAGGCUAAGGAACUAAAAAGUGCAGAAAAAUAAGACCGAACGUUUAUGUAGUGAUUUAACACGUCACAUCAGUCUGUGUCAGUCAAUAAACUCAGUA